GAUGAACGCUGGCGGCGUGCCUAAUACAUGCAAGUCGAGCGAACGGACGAGAAGCUUGCUUCUCUGAUGUUAGCGGCGGACGGGUGAGUAACACGUGUAUAACCCACCUAUAAGACUGGGAUCUCCUCGGGAAACCGGAGCUAAUCCGGGAUAAUCUUCUGAACCGUAUGGUUCAAAAGUGAAAGACGGCCUUGCUGUAACUAAUAGAUGCAUCCGAGCUGCUUUAGCUAGUUGGUAGGGUAACGGCUUACCACGGCAACUAUGCGUAGCCGACCGGACAGGGGGAUCGGCCACAUUGGAACUGGGACGCGGUCCAGACGCCUACGGGAGGCAGCAGUAGGGAAUCUGCCGCAAUGGGCGGAAACCUGGCGGAGCGGCGCGGCGUGAGUGGUGAAGGUCUUCGGUGCGUGAUACUCUGUUAUUAGUGAAGAACAGAUGUGUAAUUAGCUGAGCACAGCUUGACGGUACCUAGUCAGAAAGCCACGGCUAACUACGUG
rnacentral:rRNA from 1 species